rnacentral:rRNA from 1 species
GAGUGAAGCGGCAACAGCUCAAAUUUGAAAUCUGGCUCUUUCAGGGUCCGAGUUGUAAUUUGUAGAGGAUGUUUCGGGUGUGGCUCCGGUCUAAGUUCCUUGGAACAGGACGUCAUAGAGGGUGAGAAUCCCGUAUGUGACUGGUAGCCUAUGCCCAUGUGAAACUCCUUCGACGAGUCGAGUUGUUUGGGAAUGCAGCUCAAAAUGGGUGGUAAAUUUCAUCUAAAGCUAAAUAUUGGCCAGAGACCGAUAGCGCACAAGUAGAGUGAUCGAAAGAUGAAAAGCACUUUGGAAAGAGAGUUAAACAGUACGUGAAAUUGUUGAAAGGGAAGCGCUUGCAACCAGACUUGCAUGUAGCUGAUCAACCGGUGUUCUCACCGGUGCACUCAGUUGCGUUCAGGCCAGCAUCGGUUUCGACGGUUGGAUAAAGGCCUUGGGAAUGUAGCUUCUUUCGGGGAGUGUUAUAGCCCAGGGUGCAAUGCAGCCUGUUGGGACCGAGGACCGCGCUUCGGCUAGGAUGCUGGCGUAAUGGUUGUAAGCGACCCGUCUUGAAACACGGACCAAGGAGUCUAACAUCUAUGCGAGUGUUUGGGUGUCAAACCCAUACGCGUAAUGAAAGUGAACGGAGGUGAGAACCCUUAAGGGUGCAUCAUCGACCGAUCCUGAUGUCUUCGGAUGGAUUUGAGUAAGAGCAUAGCUGUUGGGACCCGAAAGAUGGUGAACUAUGCCUGAAUAGGGUGAAGCCAGAGGAAACUCUGGUGGAGGCUCGCAGCGGUUCUGACGUGCAAAUCGAUCGUCAAAUUUGGGUAUAGGGGCGAAAGACUAAUCGAACCAUCUAGUAGCUGGUUCCUGC